UUUUUGACACCUACAACAUUAAUGUAUCAGAUACCAUUAAAAUUUUUUAGUUAAGUGUGCUUGGGAUAGAGUGGUAGUGGGAUGGGUGACCACCCGGGAAGUCCUAGUGUUUUACACAC
rfam:Picea glauca, whole genome shotgun sequence.